rnacentral:rRNA from 1 species
UACGUAGGGGGCUAGCGUUGUCCGGAAUCAUUGGGCGUAAAGCGCGUGUAGGCGGUCCGGUAAGUCCGCUGUGAAAGUCGAGGGCUCAACCCUCGAAUGCCGGUGGAUACUGUCGGGCUAGAGUACGGAAGAGGCGAGUGGAAUUCCUGGUGUAGCGGUGAAAUGCGCAGAUAUCAGGAGGAACACCGGUGGCGAAGGCGGGUCUCUGGGCCGUAACGACGCUGAGGAGCGAAAGCGUGGGGAGCGAACAGG